UGAGGAAUAUUGGUCAAUGGACGCAAGUCUGAACCAGCCAAGUAGCGUGCAGGAUGACGGCCCUAUGGGUUGUAAACUGCUUUUAUAUGGGGAUAAAGUGGGGAACGUGUUCCCUUUUGCAGGUACCAUAUGAAUAAGGACCGGCUAAUUCCGUGCCAGCAGCCGCGGUAAUACGGAAGGUUCGGGCGUUAUCCGGAUUUAUUGGGUUUAAAGGGAGCGUAGGCCGUUUGGUAAGCGUGUUGUGAAAUGUAGGAGCUCAACUUCUAGAUUGCAGCGCGAACUGUCAGACUUGAGUGCGCACAACGUAGGCGGAAUUCAUGGUGUAGCGGUGAAAUGCUUAGAUAUCAUGAAGAACUCCGAUUGCGAAGGCAGCUUACGGGAGCGCAACUGACGUUGAAGCUCGAAGGUGCGGGUAUCGAACAGGAUUAGAUACCCUGGUAGUCCGCACAGUAAACGAUGGAUGCCCGCUGUUAGCACCUAGUGUUAGCGGCUAAGCGAAAGCAUUAAGCAUCCCACCUGGGGAGUACGCCGGCAACGGUG
rnacentral:rRNA from 1 species